rnacentral:rRNA from 1 species
GACGAACGCUGGCGGCGUGCUUAACACAUGCAAGUCGAGCGGAAAGGCCCUGCAUUUGUGGGGUGCUCGAGUGGCGAACGGGUGAGUAACACGUGCGUAACCUGCCCUUGAUUUUGGGGUAACUUCAGGAAACUGGGGCUACUACCGGAUAGGAGCUCCUGCUGCAUGGUGGGGGUUGGAAAGUUUCGGCGGGUGGGGAUGGACUCGCGGCUUAUCAGCUCGUUGGUGGGGUAUUGGCUUACCAAGGCUGUGACGGGUAGACGGCCUGUGAGGGUGACCGGCCACAUGGGGACUGCGGUACGGCGCAGACUCCUACGGGAGGCAGCAGUGGGGAAUAUUGUACAAUGGGCGCAAGCCUGAUGCAGCAACGCCGCGUGCGUGAUGACGGCUUUCGGGUUGUAAACCGCUUUCGCCUGUUACGAAGCGUGAGUGACGGUAAUGGGUAAAGAAGCACCGGCUAACUACGUG